AUUGAACGCUGGCGGCAUGCCUUACACAUGCCAGUCGAACGGCAGCAUGAUCUAGCUUGCUAGAUUGAUGGCGAGUGGCGAACGGGUGAGUAAUACAUCGGAACGUGCCCUGUAGUGGGGGAUAACUAGUCGAAAGAUUAGCUAAUACCGCAUACGACCUGAGGGUGAAAGUGGGGGACCGCAAGGCCUCAUGCUAUAGGAGCGGCCGAUGUCUGAUUAGCUAGUUGGUGAGGUAAAGGCUCACCAAGGCGACGAUCAGUAGCUGGUCUGAGAGGACGAUCAGCCACACUGGGACUGAGACACGGCCCAGACUCCUACGGGAGGCAGCAGUGGGGAAUUUUGGACAAUGGGCGAAAGCCUGAUCCAGCAAUGCCGCGUGUGUGAAGAAGGCCUUCGGGUUGUAAAGCACUUUUGUCCGGAAAGAAAUGGCUCUGGUUAAUACCUGGGGUCGAUGACGGUACCGGAAGAAUAAGGACCGGCUAACUACGU
rnacentral:rRNA from 1 species